ensembl:snRNA LOC120103250 U7 small nuclear RNA
AAGUGAUAGCAGUUCUUUUUUUAGAAUUUUUUUCUAAUAGGAUUUCUGACCUUGGUCGGAAAUCCCAA